rnacentral:tRNA from 1 species
GCGCCUGUAGCUCAGCUGGAUAGAGCACGAGCCUUCUAAGCCCGCGGUCGUAGGUUCGAAUCCUACCAGGCGCG